UCAUUCUUAGCUCUAGUUGGUAGAGCGCGUCACUAUUAUAUAGUUGCGAACACUGUAUAUGACGAGGUCAGUCGUUCAAGUCGGCUAGAAUGUG